GAUGAACGCUGGCGGCGUGCCUAAUACAUGCAAGUCGAGCGAACGGACGAGACGCUUGCUUCUCUGAUGUUAGCGGAGGACGGGUGAGUAACACGUGGAUAACCUACCUAUAAGACUGGGAUAACUUCGGGAAACCGGAGCUAAUACCGGAUGAUAUUUUGAACCGCAUGGUUCAAAAGUGAAAGACGGUCUUGCUGUCACUUAUCGAUGGAUCCGCGCUGCAUUAGCUAGUUGGUAAGGUAACGGCUUACCAAGGCAACGAUGCAUAGCCGACCUGAGAGGGUGAUCGGCCACACUGGAACUGAGACACGGUCCAGACUCCUACGGGAGGCAGCAGUAGGGAAUCUUCCGCAAUGGGCGAAAGCCUGACGGAGCAACGCCGCGUGAGUGAUGAAGGUCUUCGGAUCGUAAAACUCGGUUAUUAGGGAAGAACAUAUGUGUAAGUAACUGUGCACAUCUUGACGGUACCUAAUCAGAAAGCCACGGCUAACUACGUG
rnacentral:rRNA from 1 species